rnacentral:rRNA from 1 species
UACGUAGGGUGCGAGCGUUGUCCGGAAUUAUUGGGGCGUAAAGAGCUUGUAGGUGGUUUGUCGCGUCUGCUGUGAAAAUCCGAGGCUCAACCUCGGACUUGCAGUGGGUACGGGCAGACUAGAGUGUGGUAGGGGAGACUGGAAUUCCUGGUGUAGCGGUGGAAUGCGCAGAUAUCAGGAGGAACACCGAUGGCGAAGGCAGGUCUCUGGGC